rnacentral:rRNA from 1 species
UACGGGGGGGGGCAAGCGUUGUUCGGAAUUACUGGGCGUAAAGGGCGCGUAGGCGGCCUUCUAAGUCGAACGUGAAAUCCCCGGGCUCAACCCGGGAACUGCGUCCGAUACUGGAAGGCUUGAAUCCGGGAGAGGGAUGUGGAAUUCCAGGUGUAGCGGUGAAAUGCGUAGAUAUCUGGAGGAACACCGGUGGCGAAGGCGACAUCCUGGACCGGUAUUGACGCUGAGGCGCGAAAGCCAGGGGAGCAAAGCGGG